CAAUAGCGUAUAUUAAUUUUGCUGCAGUUAAAAAGCUCGUAGUUGGAUCUUGAAGAAUGAGGAAUGUUUUUGAUCUUACCUUGAUAAAAGGUAAAGUAUCAGCUUCCUGGUUCUUUGAUAUAUUUUAUAAAAGCAAAUGUCAGGCUAUUAGUUUAGCCUGGUAUGCAUGAGGUCUCUCUUUUGUGGGGGGACUUUGUGCUGCAGGAAUUUUUGAGGUUUCUUCGCGGAAGCCACAAUUUUUCUUGUAUUGUUUUAUAUUUUUUACUUUGAAAAAAUUAGAGUGUUUAAAGCAGGGCAACAGGCCCAUUGAAUAUAUUAGCAUGGGAUGAUAGAAAAAGACAAAUAUCUUUUUUAUUGGUUUUAGCGAAAAGAUUUAAUUUGUAAUGAUUAAAAGGGAUAGUUGGGGUGGUUUGUAUUGAAUGGGAAGAGGUGAAAUUCAUGGAUUCAUUCAAGACAAACUUCAGCGAAGGCAUUCCACAAAAAUGUUUUCAUUAA
rnacentral:rRNA from 1 species